rnacentral:lncRNA from 1 species
AAAUGUCCUUUCGGAACAUUGCUAAGUUUUUAUUAUGUUUCUUUUGUUUUAUUAUAGAAGCAAAUGUAUUACUGACUUUUUCAAACCAACUCUCAAAAAAGAUAGAACUGUGUUGUGCUCUCCAGAAAAAGGAAAUGGACGAGCUGGACAUACAGUUUCAUGUGUAGGCCAUGUUAAAAAAAAUGCAUCUUCUUCAAAGCAACAUAGAAGGAAGAAAUUGCCUUGCUCACCAUCAGGCAGAAGCCCAAUAAUUGAUGCUUUAUUCCGAAAGGCUAAGUCAGAGAAAAACAACAGUUCAGAAAAUAGUGUUAAUCAUCCAAAACCUGUGGUUCGGAGACUGUUCAUAUCUAAGGCCUUACCUGAUGGUUCUUUCAUAUUAAAAGAUCCUAUUUAUUCAAAAAAUUCAGAAAGAAAUGAGAAAUAUCCUGUUCAGACAAAGACACAUUUAAUGGAUAAUAGUAGUAGACAACAUAAAGCAGAAUAUGAAGACCUAGACUCAACUGGUUCAAGCUUGAAUAAAUGGCCUUUCACUUCAGGAAAUAACAGUCUGAAGAAGCAGAGUCAUGCAACUCAGUGUCAAAAAACAGUCUAUUCCAGGUUGCCACAAGUCAGUUCUUCAUCUCCGAAAUCAUUAGGAACCGUUCGCAAAAAGAGACAAGAGAAGGUAAAAAAAAAAAAAACCUGCACCGUUUCUGAAAAUAAAUCUUUAGAAAUUAUUUUUUCUAUUCAAGUAUAUUUAGAGAAUAACUGCAUAGCAUAUUAAUGCAGGUAGUCUUUGACUUACAGUGAUAGCAUUUAGGCUUAGAUAGUGCUUCACAGCACUCUGGGUAGUUUACAGUGUAGAAGUAGCAUUUGCAUAUUGCCCCCGACAAUCUGGGUCAUCAUUUUACCAACCUUGGAAGGAUAAAAGGCUGAGUAAACCCUGUCAGGAUUGAACUCCAGGCUAUGGGCAGAAUUUUGCCCGCAUAUCGCACUUUAACCACUGCAACUACCAGGGCUGAAACUGGUCACUUAGUUCAGAGUUACAGCAGACACUUUCCUUAAAAUUACUUACUAUCUGGUUCCAAAAUUAUGGCCACUGUAGUGCCUCUGCAGUCAUUCACCCUUAUGAUUGACUGUAGGAAUGCUGCAGCAUCCCUUCCUGCUUAUUUCCUUCCUUUCCCCCGCCACUGGGUCCCUGCGGGCCUUGGGCCUUCUUCCCACCAGGUUGGGCCCCCACACUUCCUUACCUUUUGAAGAUCUCAGGAACUCAGAUUAGGGAAAAAGGACAAUUUGCUCUGUUCCUAGGCCACAUGGAAGUAGCCACCAUGUUUUGGGCAGCCACAUUAAAUUGUGGGCACUCCAAAAGUAGCAGCUAAUUCCAGGAUUGCACCCCACAGAUCAGGGAUGGAACAGCUUGCUCUACUUCCUUAACUCAAACUCUUGACCACUUUCCAGAGCUCACGCUAAGGAAGUAGAGCAUGCUUCUUUGUUCCUGGCCACAUGGCACAGUCCAGAAAUGGCUGCCAUUUUCUCUUUGACUUUAAAAUAAUUAUAAUCCUAAUUGGAUUAAGAAAGUGAGGGUUUAACCCAGUGUCUUAAUGCAUGCUCUGCUGCAGCUGGAAGCUCAUUGCUUCUUCUACAGCUCCUGGUUCUCAAAAGUCAAAAAUCCCCCAGAAGAACUCUGCAAUCUCCUUGUGAGGAGCAACCUUCUAGAGCCCAAGAGGGUGGUCUUUUGGCUUUUCCUUGUCUGGCUUAAUGCCUGAGUACUGGUCUUUGGCACAAUGUUGUCUCCACUCCUUUGUCUUAGCCUGCCAUUUCCUCACCCAGAAGCCAAAAAAGCUCUAAAUGUUUUAUUGGGUUUGUAAUUGUACUAACUAAAUCAUAAUGUAGUUAGGUUUUACAUUACUGUGUUGUGUGAUAUUAACAGUUGUGACCCAAACUAUCUUUAGUACAAAUUCUGAACAAUGUAAUGAUUUUCUCAGGAGAGAGUUGCUUAACCUUGGUUGGUUUGCUAUAAACUGAAGCUUCUUUCUGCCUUUGAAUUUGUGUAAGUGUUUAUCGGUUGUAAAUGUAUUACUUCUUCUAAGAUGCUGUGAUUCUGCAGGUGAUAUUUUAACUGCUUCCAAUAAGCAGUAAUGGUACUGUUUAAUCCUGAAAUGUCUGCUAUUCUGAAAAGUAUCUAUAUUAUGUAAAAGCUUACUUGUAUAUUCUAAAACCUUUUUUCUGUAUAUUUUUAUUUUAAGGGCACCAAAGAUUUUUUAAGGAAAAAUUCAAGCUCAACUUCACUGGAAUCUUCUUCAGGUGCAAACAGAAAAAUAAAUGAUGUAACAUAAAAUUUAAAUUUAUUCUA